UACGUAGGGUGCGAGCGUUGUCCGGAAUUACUGGGCGUAAAGAGCUCGUAGGCGGCUUGUCGCGUUGUCCGUGAAAAUUUACCGCUCAACGGUGAACUUGCGGGCGAUACGGGCAGGCUAGAGUACUGCAGGGGAGACUGGAAUUCCUGGUGUAGCGGUGAAAUGCGCAGAUAUCAGGAGGAACACCGAUGGCGAAGGCAGGUCUCUGGGCCACUACUGACGCUGAGAAGCGAAAGCAUGGGGAGCGAACAGG
rnacentral:rRNA from 1 species